AAUAGAUACCCAGGUAGUCCACGCCCUAAACGAUGUCGACUGGUUGUUGGGGGUUUGACACUCUCAGUAACGAAGCUAACGCGUGAAGUCGACCGCCUGGGGAGUACGGCCGCAAGGUUAAAACUCAAAGGAAUUGACGGGGACCCGCACAAGCGGUGGAUUAUGUGGAUUAAUUCGAUGCAACGCGAAAAACCUUACCUACCCUUGACAUGUCCCGAAGCCCGGUGAGAGCUGGGUGUGCCCGAAAGGGAACGGGAACACAGGUGCUGCAUGGCUGUCGUCAGCUCGUGUCGUGAGAUGUUGGGUUAAGUCCCGCAACGAGCGCAACCCUUGUCAUUAGUUGCUACAUUCGGUUGGGCACUCUAAUGAGACUGCCGGUGACAAACCGGAGGAAGGUGGGGAUGACGUCAAGUCCUCAUGGCCCUUAUGGGUAGGGCUUCACACGUAAUACAAUGGCGCGUACAGAGGGUUGCCAAGGGGCGACCUGGAGCCAAUCCCUUAAAGCGCGUCGUAGUCCGGAUUGGAGUCUGCAACUCGACUCCAUGAAGUCGG
rnacentral:rRNA from 1 species